GACGAACGCUGGCGGCAUGCCUAACACAUGCAAGUCGAACGAGAUCUUCGGGUCUAGUGGCGCACGGGUGCGUAACGCGUGGGAAUCUGCCCUUUGGUUCGGAAUAACAGUUGGAAACGACUGCUAAUACCGGAUGAUGACGAAAGUCCAAAGAUUUAUCGCCAGAGGAUGAGCCCGCAUAGGAUUAGCUAGUUGGUGUGGUAAAGGCGCACCAAGGCGACGAUCCUUAGCUGGUCUGAGAGGAUGAUCAGCCACACUGGGACUGAGACACGGCCCAGACUCCUACGGGAGGCAGCAGUGGGGAAUAUUGGACAAUGGGCGAAAGCCUGAUCCAGCAAUGCCGCGUGAGUGAUGAAGGCCUUAGGGUUGUAAAGCUCUUUUACCCGGGAUGAUAAUGACAGUACCGGGAGAAUAAGCUCCGGCUAACUCCGUGCCAGCAGCCGCAGUAA
rnacentral:rRNA from 1 species